rnacentral:rRNA from 1 species
AAUCUGCCCACUGAUAUAAUAUUAAAGGGCUGCAGUAUUUUGACUGUACAAAGGUAGCAUAAUCAUUAGUCUUUUAAUUGAAGACUUGUAUGAAUGAUUGGAUGAAAUAUAAACUGUCUCUAAUAUUAUUAGUUAGAAUUUAAUUUUUUUAUUAAAAAGUAAAAAUAAAUUUAAAAGACGAGAAGACCCUAUAGAGUUUUAUAAUUAAUUUAAUUGAAAUUAUUUAUAAAGAUAAUUUUAAAUUAAUAAAUUAAAAUUAAGUUAAUUAUUUUGUUGGGGUGAUAAAAAAAUAAAAAUAACUUUUUUUAAAUAUAUAUAUAUAUAUAUAUAUAUAUAUAUAUAUAUAUAUUGUAAACAAAAAUAAAUGAUUUUUUGAUCCAGAAUUUUUGAUUAUAAGAAAAAAUUACCUUAGGGAUAACAGCGUAAUUUUUUUUUUUAGUUCAAAUAAGAAAAAGAGUUUGCGACCUCGAUGUUGGAUUAAGGAAAAAUUUAAAUGCAAAAGUUUAAAAUUUUG